rnacentral:rRNA from 1 species
AGCAGUCGCCACGGUAAUACGUAGGUGGCAAGCGUUGUCCGGAAUUAUUGGGCGUAAAGGGCUCGCAGGCGGUUUCUUAAGUCUGAUGUGAAAGCCCCCGGCUCAACCGGGGAGGGUCAUUGGAAACUGGGAAACUUGAGUGCAGAAGAGGAGAGUGGAAUUCCACGUGUAGCGGUGAAAUGCGUAGAGAUGUGGAGGAACACCAGUGGCGAAGGCGACUCUCUGGUCUGUAACUGACGCUGAGGAGCGAAAGCGUGGGGAGCGAACAGGAUUAGAUACCCCAGUAGUCCCUGUCUCUUAUAC